rnacentral:rRNA from 1 species
AGUGAACGCUGGCGGUAGGCCUAACACAUGCAAGUCGAACGGCAGCACAGUAAGAGCUUGCUCUUACGGGUGGCGAGUGGCGGACGGGUGAGGAAUACAUCGUAAUCUACUUUUUCGUGGGGGAUAACGUAGGGAAACUUACGCUAAUACCGCAUACGACCUACGGGUGAAAGCAGGGGAUCUUCGGACCUUGCGCGAUUGAAUGCGCCGAUGUCGGAUUAGCUAGUUGGGGGGGGGAAGGCCCACCAAGGCGACGAUCCGUAGCUGGUGUGAGAGGAUGGUCAGCCGCACUGGAACUGGGACACGGUCCAGAGUCCUGCGGGAGGGAGCAGUGGGGAAUAUUGGACAAUGGGCGCAAGCCUGAUCCAGCCGUACCGCGUGGGUGAAGAAGGCCUUCGGGUUGUAAAGCCCUUUUGUUGGGAAAGAAAAGCAGCAGGUUAAUACCCCGCUGUUCUGACGGUACCCAAAGAAUAAGCACCGGCUAACUUCGUG